GACGUUAGCGACAGAAGAAGCACCGGCUAACUCCGUGCCAGCAGCCGCGGUAAUACGGAGGGUGCGAGCGUUAAUCGGAAUUACUGGGCGUAAAGCGCAUGCAGGUGGUUUGUUAAGUCAGAUGUGAAAGCCCGGGGCUCAACCUCGGAAUAGCAUUUGAAACUGGCAGACUAGAGUACUGUAGAGGGGGGUAGAAUUUCAGGUGUAGCGGUGAAAUGCGUAGAGAUCUGAAGGAAUACCGGUGGCGAAGGCGGCCCCCUGGACAGAUACUGACACUCAGAUGCGAAAGCGUGGGGAGCAAACAGGAUUAGAUACCCUGGUAGUCCACGCCGUAAACGAUGUCUACUUGGAGGUUGUGGCCUUGAGCCGUGGCUUUCGGAGCUAACGCGUUAAGUAGACCGCCUGGGGAGUACGGUCGCAAGAUUAAAACUCAAAUGAAUUGACGGGGGCCCGCACAAGCGGUGGAGCAUGUGGUUUAAUUCGAUGCAACGCGAAGAACCUUACCUACUCUUGACAUCCAGAGAACUUUCCAGAGAUGGAUUGGUGCCUUCGGGAACUCUGAGACAGGUGC
rnacentral:rRNA from 1 species